UCUCAUAAUUAUUUAAUCACACAUACAUUUACAUCAUGCAAUCAAUCCAAAACUGUGAUCUCAUGAACUCCCCUGUCCGUUCUCCUCGGAGCGCUGCCAUGUGUGCCCCAGUUAUCCAGGAAUGAUCCAGUACCUUGUCCACUGAUAGAUCCUCAAAACUGUCCUUUUAAAAAUUGACCAACUAUUACACAGUAAUAAAAAAAGUGGCUACACUUUUGUUUUUAUUUAGAAUUAAUGCAAAAUCAAAUUUAGGUAAACACCUCAAAUAUUAUUUGCUGUAUUUCAUUGACUAUUCCCCUCUUCCCUCCCCCCCCCCUCCCCAUUUCAUAUCCAGUUUUGGUGGUAGGUCAAAGGAUACACAUUUUGAGGUCCAUGCUGCAAAGUCACAACUAAUCUAGAAGAUUACACCGAUGGAAUAAACCAUCUCGAUAGACACAAACACUGUCCUGUCGUAGAUACAUGGAGCUGCUCCGCCCUGCAGCUUGUAGAAAGUCUUUAUUCUUAUUUAAAUUAUUUGCCUUCAACAAAACAAUUCCAUUUUACAGGGCGUUGGAAGCGACUAACUCCUCCAGUCGAAACAGCCACACAUGGAGUGUUUGCAGGUGUUGUGAGGAAGUGCUAUUAAACUAAACGUUUUCUGUUACAAGGUUUUAGUAUGACAUCUUUUAGUGAGAGACGUAAUCCUAGCUAGAUCGGUUCCAGUCACCGAAAAACUAUUUGCAGAAGCAGUUUUCUUUACGGUGUGUUUGUAAAAGCUUCUGGAGUUUACUGUCGAGUAAAGUAGUAGAUAUUCAUGUCCUAGGAAGACUCCUGUAUCAUGUUUCAGAGUGUUGAGAAAUGGCAAUGAGAGAAGCCCUCGAUGAGAAAAUACAUUGAGAGCUAAAAGUUAGCGGAACAGAAGCUAACAAGAAAAAGGGGCAGUACUUUUUUUUUGUUGUGACUCCAUAUGGCAGGAUUACCACUGCAAGCGAACACACCCACACGAUAUACAGUGUAUUUUACAGUAUAUUGCACUUACACAAGAUGUUAGUGUUCUCACGCUGGGGUUACAAUCACAACAAGCUCUUAGCCGAUGCAGUGGGGCUUCACAGGGUUACAAAAAAAAAGAGAAGAAAGCUGUGGUGGGAAUUAAAAACACAACGAAAAGAACAUCCUACACCCCUGACUAGAUUUAGUGAAAUAAACCCCUCUUACAGGUGAUGACAGAAGAUUGUUGUGCAAUUUUAGACCCUGCUCUCCUGAUUGGCUGAUCAGCGGCGAGGGUCCGACCCAUCGACUCACACCCCUGCCCGCCUCACCUUUCAAAUAUGAAUCUACACAACGUCUAUGGAGCAAUGACAGAGGUACAGUACACUCAACCCAGCAAAACACUUUUCUGCACAUUUACAAACCAAAAGAGGGGAAGUUAAAGAGUCUAAAUCGAUAAGAAUCAACAACAACAACAACAAAAGGGUGUGGAGGGAGAACAAAAAAAAAGCAAUACACAGAGGCGAGGCAUCCUUGAAAAGAAUUCAUGAUACAGGUACAACUAAAAAAACAAAAAGUCCUGGAGGUGUGUGUGUGUGUGUGUGUGUGUGUGUGUGUGUGUGUGUGUGUGUGUGUGUGUAUUAGGACAGGACCAGCGUUGUGUGUGCCAUCUCAGUCUAUUCCCUGCAGCCUAUGUGCUCCAAUGUGCAGAGAGAUAUAAAUAGCGGCCAGCAUUAUGAACCACCGAUAGAAGUAAAAACAGUACAUUUAGCUACUUAGCAUAAGCUACGCUAAAAAAAAGGUGGAAGUUUUGUUGUGUCAACCGGAUCAUUCUCUUCCCUCUUACAUUCUUUACAUCCUUCUCAUGAAGUCACCAAUAACGAGUAUAGGUUUCAUUUUAACUUAAUGAUAAAAACAAUUGGCCUCCACAGGUAUUUAGUUAAAUACAUCUACAGUACACGGUUGCACGUCGUGGCUUUUUAGUUUAUUUUUUUAAUCCUUUUUUUGAGCCGUCCCCGUUGCUGUUGCCACACAGGUCUCACUCUCCAGGGUGUGCAGUCGUGCCAAUUUUACAUCUGUACAAGACCGGGCAGAACAGUAGUGCUCGACACCA